GCCCGUUGCCAAGGAGAACGGACCACAGCUUGUGAACUACCCAUCAGAUGAAAAACGAGGCGAAGACCUCGCUGCGAGUUUUAAAACGUCUUUACAGUUUUUAUUCCGUGAUAAGGACGUGUGUGAUUUGGGCAAACUGGUAGUUAUAUCAUCUGUAGGAGCAGAAGUUAUCGAAGAAAUACGAUAUUUCAAGGUUCCAUUUUGAGCGAGAGACGUUGGAGAUAUAUCCGGAUGACUCGAUGAUGCAUACGAGAGUUUACUCAUCUCACGAGAUCAGACGAGACUAGCGAGGGGAGCAGACGACAAUUGGCCACUUGGGAUACUGCAUGAAUGGUUGCUGCCGCCAGUGAUGGCGAGGAACUGACCACGAUGUGAAGACAGAAGGAUCACUCAGUAUUCUCACCAUGUAUCAGCGACGUAACUCUCUUUCUAGGGACCUGGGGUAUUAUAACCCGUCCUAUGACAGAGGGUACGGCAGCGGUCUGACCACCAGCCCCAAGACUUAUGGCGCGCUGUAUGAUAUGGGCACAAGUAAAGGUAGCGGUCGGAGCUACACGCCUCAAUCAUACGGCAACACUGGGUACGGAGGAACUUCCGGUUACAGAGGAGGAAAUGCCUACCAACCCCCAAACAGAAGCUACAGCUAUGAACCUCCCAAAUACAGCUCGCCAGUAUCUGUGACGGACAAAGUAAACAAGUUUUCGAACAUGGAACCCAAAUAUUCAUAUGGUGGUGACCGUUACCCGUCCGUAGAUCGCAGCACGAGCAGCAGGGAUCGGUACCCCUCACUUGAUCGUCACUCCACUAGAAGUGGCUAUUUGUCGGACUAUGGCGGCAGCAACCCUCGUUCCUACGGGUCCUGGGACAGAGCUUCAACACGCUCUAGUAAGAGUUACGGCGCCGGUAGCCGGGAGACGUCUCCCGUCAGUACAAAGUCGUCCAGGUAUGACUAUAGCAGCAGUGCUUCUCCCUACUCUACGUAUUCGUACAAGAGUGGGUCGGACGCGUCGCCUGUGACACGGCGGUAUGAGCGACAGUCUUCCCGAGGCAACGACACUCAAAGUCGUCCUUCCGCAGACACCAAACCGACAAGCAAGCAGGCCAGCAAACCCUCGAAACAGUCGGCGUAUGUGCCCAAGAGGCGGCCUAGAGAGUCCUCAGUGUCAGAUUCGGAUGACAGUGCUCCCGAGGCUGAGAAGGCCAACCAGUCAGUCAGAUACAUGAUAUGCAGGGGUACUUCGCCAAUGCCAGAAGGGGAAAUACAUAAAAAGGAAGCCAAGGAGCCCAAAAAGGAUGCUCCUUCUCGAACCAAGAGGAUCAAAUGUCCUGUGAGGGAGACUCGAAGAGGCAGACAGAGCAAGACGGACCACCCCAACACAGUCGACUGUGCAACACAGACAAAUAUGGACCAGCAGAACACCAAGAGGUCCCGCGGAUUAGGUGGAGGAGGAGGAGGAUACAGAAGUAGCGUUGGCAGCGGCGGGGGAGGUGGGGGAUCAGGAUUGGGUCCAGGAGAAACCUUCUAUAAAUAUCGCGAAAAGUUUCUUCCAGGGACAAGUUACACCCCAAAAAAAUCAACGUAUGAUCCGACUCCAAAGAAGUCCUAUUAUAGGGAUGAGGUUCAAGAUCCACCAUCUGAGAAAUCUUGGCGUCAAGCUGUUUAUGGUGAAGUUCCACGAACAUCCAGGAGGGAAGAACCCGAUGCUGAAUCUAUCGGGGUGGAAGAUGAAGAUGACAGAAGCAGCAGAAAGGGCAGGAGGCGUGAACCACGAACAAGCACUCCAAAUACAGAUUAUAACAGUGCUGCUGAUGAUCGUCAUUCCCGACACAAGCCUCCUAGUAGAUCGUCCUCGAGAGAGGACAUACUGGAUGACAAACCAAGGAGGAAGAGGCAUUCAAGCAAGGAACUUCUUGACUGCGAUCAGCCUCCUCUAACUCCAGAGAACCUGUCCCUAAGGGAAAGUAUUGAGAAGGUUCAUCAGUGGAAGCAGAAUCUGCCUUCGCCAUCGAGUGCAUACUACACAGAACCUGAUGGUGCUCCUAAUGAUAUGCGAAGACACCCUGGGGUGGGCGCUGAGAGUAAUUUCAACAGGAACGACAGACAAUAUGGCCACCAGGACUCGAUGAGAGCCAUGAUUGACGAUUCUGAGGUUCCCUACUCGAGAGAUGGUUCUCCAUCUCGUCAGAAACGAAGACAAAGGAAGAACCUCUCCAGGGGAGGAUCUAACGACAGUAUCCUUGACGAUGAUGAAUACCAAGGACACAUGCCUAACAAGGACUUCAGAAAGUCGAAUCUAAACAAGUCGAGUCUGCAGAAGCCUGAUAAGUACCGCGACAAUGAAGUAUUUGAAGGAGAAGACAGACGAGGCCAUAUCCGCAAUGACAACUACGGAUUGCAGAGGAGAUCUGGUAGUUCUUCAGAAACUACUGAAAACAGACUGAAGAGAGACAGUUCAAAGGAGAGCAUCCUUGACGACAGACGAAAGUCUAGAAGGGAGAAGUGGGAGACUGACGGCAGUCAUGCACACGGCCAUGCAAGUGAUAGUGCGGGAUCUCAGUUUGGAUUCAACAGAGAGGAAUCUCCGAACAGAGGAAUCUUCGGCCGGUCCUCCAAGUCUAACAGAUCAAGCAGACAAAGCUCACGCGAGGAUAUGUUGGAGGACAGAGGUAGACACGCUCAACUUGCUCGACAACAAUCGGUGGAGCAAUACUUGUCUCCUUAUGACAGAAUGAGACCAAACCAUCUUGCCGUGUCUAAUGAAAGCCUGUCCAAGAUGAGCAGUGGUUCGGGCUUUGAUGACCCCAAUUUGCAGCGAAUGUCAAAUUCUGUGUCUCAACAUUCGAUCGCCUCUAUGACGAGUCAGGGAACUCUCCCUGACAUUGUGCCACACAGCCCUGAGUCGGAAAUGGGCAAAUCGAAGUCUUCUCCGGAUGGUCAGAAGAAACCUUACAAGGGGGCCCGAUCUGGCUACAUCAGCGCGGUACAAGACAUUGAUAGUCUCCUGGACGACGACGAGAGGCGACGACAGGCGGACAUCAUGGAUUCUCCAGUACCAAGAACAUCACACCACCCUCUGCAACCUUCUCCACUCUCGCCAACAGGAUACGAGGAUGAUCCGUUCACGAAGCGUAGGCCAAACAGCUACUCCUUUGAAGCUCAGCAAGAUGGUCGAUCCUCUGGAUCCAAGAUGCGGGCGUCAAAGUCUCAUGAUGACAAGCUCAUCGACAUCGAAGAUGAACGCAUUCAGGCUGAACGGUCUCCCCAACAGGCAGCACCCCCUAAAACCCGUGGUCCUCCUUCAGCAACAGCUAAGCAAAUGGCGCAGAUCUUGACUCAGAAGAAGGGCCUGGUAGCCAUAGCAGACUUCCUGAGUCUCUGUGAGAAGCCACCGGCACCCCGCAUCAUCAAGAUUCCGGGAGCAUCUGACGAAGAUGACAGAAACUUCAAAGGAUACAACUCCGCCUCAGACAUGUUGGAACACCUCGGAGUUGACGUUAAGAAGCUUGAAGACUGUGCGCUGCAGAUCUACCGCUACCACAGCGGGUCCCAGGGAGAGUACGGAACCUAUCUGGAUACUGAAUCCACUCUUGAUGAACAGGCUGAGGAGCUAGAUGGAUUCCAAGACCAGCGGAAGAACACGCUGAUUCUACGUACUCAGCUGACAGUCAGGGUACAUGCUAUUAUAGAAAAAUUGCUGACAUCCUCUGGGAGAGAAUUACGGAGAGCUUUAUUUUCACUGAAGCAAAUCUUUCAGGAUGAUAAGGAUCUUGUCCAUGAGUUUGUCAACAACGAUGGACUUGACUGCCUUAUCAAAGUGGGCUCGGAGGCGGACCAGAACUAUCAAAACUAUAUACUUAGGGCCCUGGGACAGGUGAUGCUGUACGUGGAUGGUAUGGAAGGGGUGAUCCGACACAAUGCCACAGUGCAGUGGCUGUAUGGCUUGCUUGCAUCAAAGGGCCGCCUCGUAGUGAAGACGGCACUUAAGCUGAUCCUGGUUUUCGUGGAGUACACAGAGAGUAAUACGCAACAGCUCAUCAAGGCUAUCAAAAGUGUUGACUCUCGCAGAGGAUCCCGACCUUGGUCCAACCUGAUGAACAUUUUGGAUGAAAAGGACGGCACUGACACAGAGCUCCUGAUCUACGCCAUGACACUCAUCAACAAGGUGAUCAAUGCACUGCCGGACCAGGACUCGUUCUAUGAUGUGACGGACGCACUGGAGGAACAAGGCAUGGAGCGGGUCACACAGAGGCACAUAAACCGCAAGGGCUCCGACCUCGAUCUCAUCACACAGUUCCAGACAUAUGAGGCUGCCCUGAAGAGUGAAGAUGGGGAGGAUAAAGCUGAUAUUCCUCAGCUGGAAAAUCUCAGACGUCAGCCUCGAACCACGAGUAAGGAUGAUGGGCGUAAGAGUCGGCGCAGUGUUGGCAUGGCCAAGAUGACAAAGUCAGUCAGCAUGUCAGUACUGCCUCAGAAAUCCCAGGAUGCAGAAAAACUAACUCCAGCAGAAAUGUACAGGAAAAAGAAGCAGCUUGACCAGUUCCGUCCUCCGACAGAAGACAAUGAUCCCUUCCCCAUGCGCAGUCGCAAGUCCUUCCCUCAAGACCAGCAUAAUGGAAACCAGUCCUCAGAAAGUCGACAGGAACGAAAAGAAAGACGGCGGGAACGUCAGCUGACAUUACGAAAGGAACAAGAAUUGAAAAACAUUGAUCUCCCCGAGGCUGAUCGCAUAUCAGUGGCCAGUAUAUCAUCCACCAGCACCACCAGUAGCUCUAGCUCCUUCCCCCCAGAAUCUGCCCACGAUCAUUUGCCAGAUCCGGAUCCUGCCUCCUUUAGUUCUUUCAGUGAUAUUGACUCAUUAGAUGACCAAAGGGGUUCCAAAGGCUCGAGAUUGAACGAGUCUGGCUAUCAGAGCUUCAACAGUCAGGGAGACAACUAUGAACCAAAUAACUUGGAUGCUAAGAACAAUGCAGUCAAUCAAGGUCAGAUGCGCAAUGCUCCUGAAGGUGAGUCAGAGGCACUGUCAAGCAACAAACGAUGGCAGAUGUACAAACAGAAGCAUGGUUUGGAAGAGGAUGAUAUGCAAGGUCCGUAUAUUCAGGGAGGGAGUGUUUCUCAAAGGAAGGAGACUUUCCAUGAAGGUUCUAAUGCCAAUGUGCCUCCAAAGAAGCAUGUUUUGGACAGGUUACCUGAUGGCAAUGUACAGAGUGCUGUUAGUAGGUUUGGUCCUCAGGAUGAGUCCAAGCUGCCCAUUGAGAUGGGCAGACCUCAAGGUGAUUCUAGUGGUUUGAUUGGGCGUGCUAAGGAUGGCUUGCAUACUAAACCUGCUGCACCUAAACCGGUGCCAGAGCCUGAAGUGAAGAAGACAGAGAGUGACAUGCAGUGGGAGAGGAUUCAGAGGAGACUGAAGCGACCUCUGAAAAUUAAAGACAUGGACUUCACAGAUCUCAGGGAUGAGGAUGACGAUGAUGUGUUUGCACCUCCUAAGAUGGCAUUUGACAUGAAUGGUGAUAUGCCUCCUCCUCCUCCAAUGGGUUUCCCUCCCCCACCACCACCCCUCGGGGGCUUCCCACCCCCACCCCCACCACCAAUGAUGGGAGGCAUGCCCCCACCCCCACCCAUGCCUCCAGGAAUGCCUCCACCCCCACCCCCUCCCAGUAUGGGUGGUCCUCCCCCAGAGGACUCUAAUUUGCCACCUCCCCUGGGAGCCAACUUGCCAAAGAACAAGAAGACUAUCCGUCUCCAUUGGAGACCUCUCCAGACCCAGCCCGCUACUCCAAAGGAGAAGGAUGAGACAGUGUGGAAGCAGCUUGUCACAGUCAAACUUGAUCCUGAGAAGUUGGAGCACCUGUUUGAAACCAGGUCCAGUGAGGUUAAGACUAAGGAAGUGAAACAAGAAACUGGGUCCAGGAAGGAGAUUGUUGUCUUGGAUCCAAAGCGAUCCAACGCCAUCAACAUUGGUCUGACAGUCCUGCCACCUCCAAGAACCAUCAAGGCAGCCAUCUUGAAAAUGGAUGUGUCAAUCAUGAAUAAAGAGGGCAUUGAAAAGAUCCUGUCGACGAUGAUCCCGACGGAUGAGGAGAAGGGGAAGAUCCUUGAGGCGCAGAUGGCGAACCCUGACAUCCCCCUGGGGACAGCCGAGCAGUUCCUCCUGACCCUCUCCUCCAUCUCCGAGCUCAUCCCCAGACUCAAGCUCUGGCUCUUCAAGCUGGACUUUGAGAACAUGGAACAGGAAGUGUCUGAGCCCCUCAUGGACCUGAAGAAAGGCAUUGAUACACUGACACAAAACAAGACGUUUAGAUGUAUCCUGUCUACGAUCCUCGCGAUCGGUAACUUCCUAAAUGGUGCUCAGGCCCGAGCUUUCUCGGUAGAUUUCUUGUCUCGGAUCCCUGAGGUGAAGGACACAGUGCACAAACACUCUCUUCUUCAUCACCUGUGUAAUGUCAUCCUGGACCAGUUCCCUGACACCACUGAUCUCUACUCCGAACUUGGACCUCUCACACGGUGCUCUCGGAUUGACUGGGAUGAGCUCACCAACAAGUUGAACAAGUUGGAAUGUGACUGCAAGUCCUCUUGGGAUUACCUCCGAGCAAUCAUCAAACACGACGGCACUUCCUCAGACAUGAAGGGAAAGAUGCUGGUGUUCCUGGGUGAUGCUGCGGAGAGGAUCAUGUUGCUGCAGGUCAUCUUCAAGAGGGUCAUCAACAGGUACCACAAGUUUCUGUUGUUCAUGGGGCUACCAGUACACAUGGCCAAGGACCAGAGGAUCAACCACUUCUGUAAGAUCAUCAGUGAGUUUGCACUGGAGUACCGCACGACUCGCGACAAAGUCAUCCAGCAGCGUGAGAAGAAGGCCAACCAGAGAGAGAGGAAGAAGACACGGGGCAAGAUGAUCGUGGAGACGGACAGAUUCGCCAAGUCUAAGGAUGGUCAUCAAGAGGAUGAGCUGCAGAAGCUACUGAAGAAUGGCUAUGCUAGUGCUGAUGAACGUGGGCUGCCUGGACAGAAAAUCAGGAAGCGGAUAGAUGCAAGAAGUAUGGGAUCUCGGGGCUGUCUGACGACCGAUUCCGAGAUGUACGAUACGGGAGAUGAUGAGAUUCUGGAGGCAUGUGUCCGCACAGCCACAGCACCCUCUACACGUGUGCCCAAAGAAAGGCGGAGGUCACGCAGUCAAAGGAAAUCAUAACCUUCCGAGCAUCGUCUGCUGACAGAAAACCUAAGGAAAAGCCUUUUGGGAUAGUGAUUACUAGUACGUCGGACAUUGAGAGGUGGCCUUGACCUUAAUGAGUUGCAGGCCGUGAUUGGAGAAUCUGACCAAGUUUGAUCAUCGCUCACGUCUAAUGUCACCUUAGUCUUUCAUAGUCAACUACCGCCCAUUUUGUCCCUCGUCGCAUAGCUAUCGACCUUCACUCAACGUCCACAUGUCGCCAGGCCGGCUGCUGGCCAUGGUUCAAGGACUAGAAGCAGUGUGGAACAAGUACUGCACACACAAAGAGGAAUUUUCUAUGCAACAAUGAAAACAAAUAUAUAUGCUAGAAUCUGUCUCAAGAACUGCUAGAAUAUUCAGUUAAAAUUUUCACAUGCAUUGUUAAUGUGAACAGCAUUCAAUAUAUUUGGUAUGCAAGUUGAGAGGUUGAACUAACAUUACCUGAAGAUAUUUGAAUUGCAAGCUCCGUAAUAAUAGCUGUCAAUGAUAUUCAUCAUCAUGAAUUAUUUUAUUAAAUAAUUUCAGAAUAUUGAAAUCAAACAUUUAUUGUAUUAAGAUAAUAACCAGUUAAUAAUGACCCUGCACUGAAAAAUGUGAGUGGACGAGACAUUUCAAUAUGAAUGCUGUUUGUGCAAAAUAGAAGCUUAGUAUUACGAAUUUAUGUUGGCAGUGAUAAUGUCAACAUGGACAAGACGGACUGUAUUAAGUCAACAACAGGAUGGUGAGCGUACACAUCCGCCAGUAAUCUGUGAUAAGACUCUAGCUUGCUGAAUUGAUUACAUCAUGUUGGAUUUAAUUUGCCGACAUCAUAUUGCUACCCCUUUUAUUUUUAUAUGUGUCGAUUUUGUAAGACUAUUUGGGGGGUCUCUUGAUAAUGGACCAAGUAGGAUAGGUGCUAAAAAAGUACAAAAGAUCAAAUUUCAAUAUUUCAAAUGGAAUAAAGUGCCCUAAACAGUGGUAUGUGCAAUAUGCUAUUUGAUAUAGUCAAUAGUGAUGUGUUCAGAUACUGACAAUGUAUGACACAUUUGUCUUCAGUGUUGUUGUCAAAGGUUUUGUUACCAUGAUUUCAAGUAGCUUAGCAGUUUGAUCUUUUUUGAUGUUAUUUCAUUGUAAAUAGAAUGUUAACGAAUGCAAUUGUACAGGUGUACAGAUGAAAUCAUUUGCAUUUACAUCAUUAAAAUAUUUGUUAUUUUUCUAAGUUACCUGCUUUAUAAAUGUGAAUUUAUUUAUUUAUUACUGACAUCAAGACAAAGUGUCCCUCAGAGCUCUCAGUAAUAAUCCGUUACAUUGUUAGUUAUAUCAACUGCAUGCAACAGCACAUGCCUCCAUUAUCAAGCAACAGAUGAAAAUUACUUGCAACAUCCAAUGCAAAAAUUGCCUCUAUAAUUUGGCAAUGACAAAAAUCAACACAUGGUAUAUGUGUGUAUUGCAAUGAUGCACAAACAAUAUCUAUGUUCAUUUAAGCGUAAAAUUUGUGGAAAAGAAUCAAAAUAUUGUCGAGAGAAAACAUUCCCCAAAAUGCAAUAUACUGCAUGGGGACAUGUUAUAUCUGAGUUAUAUCCUGGGUUAUUGCAUGACCGUCAUGUGACAUUGUGUUGAAGAUCUUAUUUAAACAUUAUUGUCAGCUCUGAGAAGGAUAUGUGUUACGUUACAGUCAAUAUAUUGUGAAUCUGAAUAAGAUGCAUCAGGAUUAAUGAGCAAUCUUGUCUGAAAGGAUGCUUAGACUUGUAAACUGUGAGGCCAAAGUUAUUAAUGCACUAGUCAGUCAAAUAUUAGUAAGUCACUAUGACCAUAGUCUAAAAUGUUGGACAUAUGCUGACAUUUAGGCAUGACUCCUAAGACAGCUUUAUAUGCACAGUAUAUAUAUUCUUAAGAUAUCAGGCCUGCAUCAGCACAUAUACAAGUACCGGGGUAGAUAUUUGAUUUGAGUUGUCUCCCUUGAGACAAUUACACAAUGUCAGGUCAUGCCAAAUCACUGACAUUCUAUAAAUGAUGCUUCAUCAUUUAUAAUUACUUUCUGACUAUAUCAAACUAAAAAUCGGCAUGUGGUUCGCUAGUCAUCUUUUGUGGAGCUCCAGUGUAAUGGCUUCCACAAAGGGAGAUUGUGUACAUAUAGUUUUCUAACAUGUGAAAGUAUUACAGUUGCCUGAUUUGGUAUGUUUUUGGAAACUAUAUUUUAGAUUAUAUAUAGUGCCUUCAAAUAUGGAACCGUAAAUUUGGCCUGAAAUAUUGGUGCUGAUGGAUACUCCAAUGCAAUACGGUUUAUAUUGCAUACCCUCAGCAUGCUUGUAUUCACCACCUUGCUGUAACAUAUAGAUGAUGUUCUUAUGCACAGUGUAGCAGUAGUGUGCCUGAAUAAUAAUGUCACAGAAGCUCAAGCUAAAUGGCCAGUGAUGAUGUUGCCAUAUUGACUAGUGUAUGCACGGACCUCGGUUUAUGAGAUAACAUGCAGAGCUGGCUACUGCUGAAUGUGUAGCCACAGAUUGGUAUCUGGUGUGGUCUGCUGCAAGUGUGGUCACAAUUUGGGGCUGGAUUUAUCUGCUGCAAGAGCAUCCACAGUUUGGUAUCUGAUGUGGUCUGCUGCGAUUGUAGCCACAGUUUGGCGACUGGAGUGGUCUGCUGCGAUUGAAGCCACAGUUUGGUAUCUGGAGUGGUCUGCUACGAUUGUAGCCACAGUUUGGUGUCUGGAGUGGUCUGCUGCUGAAUAUGUGAUGUGGUGCGGAAUAAAGCAUUGAUCUCAACCAAUCACUACCAGCCUACCGGAGGGUGUAUGCUUUGUUAUAUUUAUUGUUGUGAGUGCAUCCAUGUUACAGUUGAGAUUGUAUAACCUAACCAGUUGUGAUAACAAGCAAUAAUAACAGAAGUUGAUAGACAGAAAGGUUCACAAUAUAUGACAAUAUCAAAAUAUAGAAUGUGCUCAUGUUACAAUAGCUCAAGGAAACAUCCCUUUCAGUAAAAUUAACAAAAAUUUCAAUAUCUGUAUGAUGAAAUAUUUGUUUAAUUUUGAACUCAAAAGUAAUGCCACUAUUAUAAUGUUACGUUGCUGAUUAUACAUGUUAUGAGUAGUAGUCAUUUAUUCCCAUAACUCGUCAUCACAUUGGUAAAGACUGUUCAAAUAGCCAGCCAUUUGCAAUAUGGUUUCCCAGAAUCUGGAAAUCUUAAUGUUAUGAUUUACCCUCUGUGUGAUAUUAUUGGUUACUAAACUCUGUGACAAUGUCAUCAUCAAUACAUGUUAAAUGAUUGUUAUAAGUGAUAUUCUUCCUAAAUAAGAAUCUUGGAUCAUUUUGCAAAUGGCCGCCUCCCUUCAUGACAUCCUGGUCUGAGGAAAUGAUGACUGUAAUUAUUUAUUGUAGCAUCCGACUGUAAAUUUUGACAUUUUUGCCAUAUUUUGGAUAUGCAAAUUUUAACCAGAUUUAUAGAAUAAAGUUUCUUAAAAUGA